UUUUUUUUUUUGAUAACUGACUGAUAACACUGUGCAAAGUCUGUGCAUGCUUUGUAAAACAAAUAAAUGAAAGAAGAGCAGGCCACAAUAGACUCUAGACUUCCAGAAUAUCAGACCCAUCUGAUCUUUUUAUCUCAAACAUAUUAUCUGAGUUUCUCAACAAAAAUACUGAAGUACUCCUUAUGUUUGAAGUGACUGAGAUCUGCCCAAGGCAGUCUGCUGUUAGUUGUGUUGGUAUUCCAGUUUGUCAGUAAGAAUGUUAAGUCUAAUAGUAAUCUAGAUCCCACCCAGACACUCCUAAAACCCUGCCUUCUUGCUAUGGUUUCACUCACGCUAUGCAUUCACACGACUGACAGUAAAGACACAGAUCCUCUAAUGGUAAUGCUUGAGGGUCGGACUGGGGACAGGUGAGGGUGGGUUUGAAGUUUUCAUCACAUGCUUCAAUAAGAAAGGAUCCAGUGUUUGCAGUGUUGAACUUGUUCUGCACACACACAUUCAUACAAGCAUCUGGUGUGUUUCGUCUGUGCUGACUGAUAGUGAAGACUUGGCCUGUAUUCAUCAAACUACAAAAAGGGAAACUAUGGACAAAAGUGAAAAAUAAAAGAUGUCACCACUUCGUCCACAAUCACAGAGUCUUCGUACAAUAAAGUUCUUUGAAACCAGGGCUGAGGCCUCCAGGAUUCAAACUUCAAACAUUAAAUCAUAGAGAGAAGAGACAGAUGUGAAGACAUUUCCAGAAGGUCUUCAGCUGCUGUCGUCUUCUCUUCCUGCAGAGACAAGAACAUGCGUUGAUCACAGAAACUGAGCGUGCUCUGUUGAGACAGUUGACGUAAAGCUGUUUGUGAAUUACCUGGAGGCCUCUGUCCUGGUCUCAGUGAACUACUUCAUUGUACGAAGACUCUGUGAUCGUGGACUACGUCUCUGUGAACGUGGACAAUGUCUCUGAGAUUAUGGACAAAGUCUCUGCGAUCAUGGACAACGUCUUUGUGAUCAUGGACGAUGUCUCUGAGAUCAUAAACGCUGUCUCUGUGAUCAUCGGCAAUGUCUCCAUGAUCGCGGUCAAUGCCGUCAAAUCGGUGACCCCCGUCUCCGCCGAUUCUAUCGCAAGGUCUCUACGAAGCAUGGGACAAUGUCUCUGAUCAUGGACAACGUCUCUCUCAUCUUUGACAAGGUCUCUGUGAUCAUGGACAACGUCUCUGAUCGUGGACGAUGUCUCCCUCAUCCUCAACAAUGUCUCUCCGAUCAUGGACCAUGUCUCAGCGAUCGUGGACGACAUCUCUGUGAACGUGGACGGUGGUGGACGAAGUGGUGACACCUGGAAGAAAUCAAAGAGAAACAUACAAAGGAAAAUGAUCAAUACACUGCUACCUAUUCCUCAUCAACAGUUUAACCAUGAAAACACACAGAAAUAUUCAACAUUACAGCUGAACCACAACAUUUAACAAACAUUACAGGCUGCUUCAGAAAAUCAACAGUUAACUGUCAUCACCUCCUGAACAACCAAUGACAACAAAUAUUUGGGAAAAAGUCAAAUGAUUAUUGAUUGUGUGUCUAUCAACUAACCACUGAAGCAAUGUGUGUUACUGUGAACUGCACAACAAUAAUAAACACUAUCAGUUAAAUUUUGAA